GGGAGGGAACGGGAGGGAACUCGGGCUGUCCGGGCUGGGACGGCUCCCGCAGUCAUUUCGUUUAGAAAAGCCCUCUGAGAGCAGCGAGUUCCCCGGCACUACCAAGCCCAAGGAUCGUUCGGGUUGGAAGGGAGCUCUGGAGAUCAUCCAGUUCAACCCCCUGCCCAGGCUGGGUCACCUGCAGCAGGUGACACAGGAUCGUAUCCAGCUGCCUCAGCCUUUCCUGCUCCUAGGGCUCCUUUUGGCUGCCCAUGCCUGCAUAUGCAACUGGAGGGAGGGAAGGUGUUGCCACAGAUGACUCAAGACAAGCCAUGGAGGCUCCUGGAAUCAACCACCCCUAAGCAGUGAAGGUUCAGUGAAGGUUUCUGUGUCCUGCCAGCCGCCAGCAAUGCUUGUUUCCCCUGCCCUUGCCCCACUCAAUGCGAUCUCAAUGGGUGUCUCAGAGACAAGAAUGGGACCUUUGUCAUAAAAACUACCAGGGAAAAAAGCAGCUGAUGUUAUAGACUCACCAGCAUGCUCCAUCCAGCUGGGAUUCCUGGCAUCAAUCCCUGCUGGAACACAAUUAGCCAGGUAAAACGGGUUCUUCAGUGCCCUGACUCCUUGUUUUACCUUCACUGCUUCCACCUCCAUAUCUGCUGUCACCAUCAUGCUGUGACCCAGCUCCCCAGGCUACCAGGAACCACCAAAAAUCCAAGGGGAGGGAAGAGAUGCUCUUUGGUUCACUCCUCUGAUCUGCCUGCAAAUCUGGUGACAGGGAAUCACCAGAAUUUGGAAAAAAUAUAUUAAAUUUCCUUAUUUCACGACCAUGAUUUGGUUGGAGCAUGCUUUAAAAUACCCAAGUGACCUGGGUGGUGAGGGAUCACUAAAUAUUUGGGCAUCUGGGGAUCAAACAAGUAAUCAGGGAAAGAGGGAGAUGGGUUGAAAGGAUUGCAGCCUGUCUUUUCUCCUUUUAGAGAAAAUGAGUUACAAUGAUGAAUGGUGAGGUCUGAAACCACAGGAAAAAAAAUAAAAGAAAAACUAACAAAUGCUGAAAAACAGUUUAAAAGGGCAGAGUCUAAAAGAAGACUCUGUUCUUGGCUUUGGUUCAGCCUAAGAAAAGCUGAAGACUCCAGGCACAGGGGAAUUGUGGCAGCAUGAUUUACAAGCUUCUGUCAUCAAUGCAAUUAAAACAGCCAUGCUGAUGAAGCAAAUGCAUCAGGAAACCACUAAUUUAGUCAUUGUGUUACUAUCAGGGAGGAGCCUGAAGCUCCUGACAGCUCCCUGUAACACCAUUCCUACACCAGGUUUAGGAUCCACUGCAAGGAUCUGUGUAACGCCAGCAGAAGGGGGAGAAAUUGGAAAUAUUCCCUUUAUUCUUGUAUUAUUGGGAAUUAGCUGGAAUACUGGAAUAACUUGGCCUAAAUGAGUUAGAGUUGUACUCUUUGUUUGGG